CAGGUUUAUUGGGAAAACAUGUCGACAAUAUGCGACCAAAAUUCAGAUAAGAAAACUUUCAUAAUUUAUAUGAUUUGCAUGCAAAGUUUGUACUGUUAUCAGAAAGGCGCCAAGAAAAAGGAAUGACAAAGAAGAGCAAACAGAUAAUGCUUGAUAAAUGUGCGUACAAUGUGUGGAGGCCACACUGAAGGACGACGAGUUAACAACAUAAAGCGCCUUUUAACAGCACCCGCACCACAUCUCCUGAACUCUUCCCUUCCCCCCCGCUCAUCGCACAUUUCCACACCGCGCGCCUUGUGCGGCUUUUUAUAUGCAAAUUUGUUAAGGGUUAACAUUUGACUGAAGCGACAAAAUUGAUUGACAUUUUGCACCCUUGAGGCUGUUUUCAAUAUACCAAACGACUACCAAAAACACUCCUUCUCCCAUGCCAAGCAUUCUAGAGAGCGAGAGAUGAUUUUCUGCUGAUAAACCCUUUAAGCCAUUUUUAGUUUAUUG